CUUGCCUUUGUGGGUAGUCAGGUGAUAACUCUUCUUCUUAGCUUUCUACUUGGGCAGAAACUAUAUACAAGAUAAGUUAACAUUGAGGAAAGGGCAAAAGCUUAGAAGGAGGAGAAAGCCAUGGCAGAAACUUAUAAGGAAACCAGAGACAAAACCGGAAUGAUUACAUCUCCUUCCCUCUCUCUGUGUGUUCCUUCUUUCUUCCCUCUCUUCCUUCCUACAAACAUUUGAGUGUCUCCUACAUGCCAAGCCCUAGCUAGCUACUGAGGAUAAAACAAGACUCAUUCCUUGCUCCAGGAGAGCUCAUAUGUAGUGGGGAGCUAAUGUCAUGGCUGACUGUAGGCCAUGGAUUUCCAAGGCCUGCUUUGUCUGUGUGUCGGUAAGGAGGGGGCUAAGAAAAUAGAGACCCUCAGAAUGGAUUCUGAAGUUACCUUUGUAAUUGCCACAAAGCUGAGGGUGGAGGACCAGCUGACACAUGUAGGCUAAGGAUGCAUACCCCACAUCAUUAUGGCUUCUCUUUGGGUGGUGGUACAGAUACUGGACAGGGGUCUGAAGUGAAGCAGGGCUAGGAUGCUUCCUGUGUCCCCCAUGCCACACUCAGCCACAGUGGCAGGGGUAAUGUUAUCACCUCUCCUCUCCCUGAAGUGCCUUUGUGUUGCUGUGGGUUGUCCGGCUGCAACUCACCUUGAGUUCUCUCUUGGUCAUCAUGUUAUGUGCAAAAGGGAGAACAAGGAAGUUGUGAGAGGUUUGGAAAAUACAAAACAAAGAAGAAAGAAGAAACAUCCUUAUCCCCAAAUAACAACAACAGCCGCAAAACAAGAAAAACAUUUUGGUAUCCAGUUUAUGGGUCUCUGAAGUGCAGGAAGCUCAAGGACCAGCCCCAGGACCAGAGAACAAAUAAUGCUCUUAUCAGGGAAUAUUCUACUAGCAUUUAAGUGUUGGUUAAGGGUCUCUGCUGAGGCUUGGGGAACAAAAAACUCCUAGGUUUUCACCUCUUGAUGAGAGAACCUCUUUGGGGGAGGUACUUUUGUGCAGGUAUUUACAAACUUCUUACAGGUGCAGGGUACAGAGAGUUCCCAGAAUAUAGGCCUUCUGAGGGAGUCAUGUUUGUUAUGAAUCUAGGUUUGAUUUGUAAAACAGGCAUUAAAGAGUAGUUGUAAGUGUCCAGAGUUUGGGGGUAACCAGAUUGGUAGGUCCUACCUGGACCUGGGAGACCUUUCCUAUGUGGUUUAUUUUGAAAGCAUUUGCUUCUGCUGAAGCUAAUUGGAGGAGGGACUUAAAGGUUGCCUGGCCACAGCCCUAAAGAACCUGGAAUUAAGGCACUGGCUGGAUGGAUACCCUAACCCGUAGACACAAGGCCGGGUGAAGAACAUUAGCUCUUAUUACUGUCAUUUGGCCAAAUGUUUUGAAGAGUGUUUGGUGUACCGAGGUCUUGUAAUGGCAGUCGGGGCUUUAAGUUGGUUAGAUACCUUUACUAAACAACAGCAUCAUAUUUUUCUCAUUUGCCAAGGGCCAUUAGAUACUUUCACAAAAUUGCCACAGUCCUUGGACAGCGUUUAAUUUCCACUGAUCUAGCUCAGCUUUACAGCCUCAGCAACAAGGGCAUGAAGUCAAUAGCUUCCCCGUCUUUGCUUCUGUGAGCAGAUGGCCUAGGAAGGAGUUCUGCGUCAUCAAGAAUAUGGCCAGACACUUUGGGGGGAUUCUGAAAUCUCUGGCUUAUAGAUUGAUUAGGGGUUCUCACUCUGCUUUCCCCUAGAGGGAUGUUUCUCUAUGGCCAGUUAACGGAUUUCACAGCAUCUUAACCUUUUAUAAAGUUUGGAAGUUUGUUUUCUGGCUCUCAUAUUUCCCUCUUGGUGUGUGUACUGCCUUUUCUCAGCUGAUGUUGGCUCUUCUCCCAACUGACUUUCAGCUGUUCUUUGGGAAAAGGCCAAUUUACAACUACAGUGAAAGAAACAAAACAGAACAAACCCCCCCCCCCCCCCAAAACCUGUGUGUCUUACCACUUCUGGCAUCUGGUUUUGUUUUGCUUCGCUUUGUUUUCCUUUAAUUGGUGGUCAGUUUGUGUACCCAAAGGCCUGCAAUUCUAAUGACCUAUUUUCUGGUAUGCUUGCCUGGGAAUGAUCCGUGAUGGGUUCCUAUCUGUAUCUCUCAUGGUCCCCUCUUAUUUAAUUUUUAGAAGAACUGCUUUGAGUUUCCCCUGGGUAGCUAGCAAGGAUCCCAGUUUCAAAACUGAAAAUAUUGGGUGUGAAGAUGUUUUGAACAAGGAACAAGAAGCCUGUGUUCUAGUCCUGGCACUGCCAUUAUUAUCCGUGUGAACUUGGGCAAGUCUCCAGAUUUCUUUGGGUUGUGGUUUCCUCAUGGGUAAAAUUGGGAUAUUAAUACCUACCUCACAGGGUUGUUGUGAGGAUUAAAUGUGCUCUGUAAUCUGUUGUACUAUAUAAAUAUUCAUGAAUUUUUGUUAUGAUUUAAGAGCCAUUUGAAAGUAUUCCCUGGCCACAUAGCAGUCAUGCUAACACUUAUACUAUCUGAUCAAGGGUUUUCAUGGUCAUGUGUUGCAUAUUGAAAUCGCUGGAGCAAAACUUUACGUUUUUACAUAAACAUUUUUGUGUGGAAAGGGUCCAUAGCUUUCAUUGGUUUUCUAAAGAGGGGUCUAUUAUCCUAAAAAGGUGAAAUCCAGUGCUUUAGAUUGAAAAGUGGGAUUCAGUGAUGGGUAUAAAUGUAUUGCUUCCAAAAGAUCCCUUCUUAACAUGUUUGUAGUAGUAGUUGCAAUGUUUUUUCGAUAGUGAAAUUUUUAAUGUGGCCUAAUGACUGGUUGAUCCGAACAUUUGAAAUUGGGACAGAAAAUUCUUGGCCAUAUGGUCAUGGUAGGCAUUAGGUUAUCCAACUGUCUACAGUGUGAAGGUGGAGGUAAAACAAAUUAUUAGCUAUGUGGCUCUAAGGAAGUCACCUUACCUCAUGGAGUCUGUUACCUCAUUUGUAAAGUGAAGGAUUUGACCUUGAAGAUUGGUUCCAAAGUUCCUAGUUUGAAUUCUCUAGGGAAGUGAGAUCAAAGCUGAACUUGGAUGAAUUCCUGUUGUGGCAGAAAUGAAUCAGGUUUUGUGUAAGAGGAGAAAGAGGGAGUGUCAGGGAGAGGAGGGGCAGAGCAUCCUGGGAAACCCCAUUCUUGAUAAAUGUGGGAAACAAGAGCCUGCUGAGGUGAAGAGCCAGAAUCAUCAGGGCAGAAAGAGAGCUGGUGGGCUACUCCUGAAGAUCCAGGACUCUGGUGGACCAGAGACUCAACCUCCAACUUUCACCCUGGGCCUGACUUGCCAGAACAAAGUUGUCCCUCAGUGAGCAAACACCCUGUCUUCUCUGCACUCACAGAACUUCCAGUUCUCAGGGGCAAAUGCCUGGAGUCUUCACUCUUCCCACAUCAGGUGGUCUGGCUACUUCAGGAGAAUGCUGCCCUACAAAUGCCUCAAGGCACAAAAUUUGGAAGACUUGGCUCUUUGGUUUAGAAGCAGCACUGGCUGAGGCAUGGUUCUUUGGAAACAGACAAGGGAUGAAGCAGGGCCUUGGCCCUAUUGGUGAGCCUUCACAUUUCCCCAGGGAAAGAAACAGAUUUGAAGAAUCCCCUACAGCAGAAGCAGAGGUGGAAAGGCGACCCACUUGUUGCGAUGGUGGGGACAGUUGAUUUCGUCUCCGUGAGGAUUCCUGUCGGUGGCUGAGCACUGAAGUUGUCUCAGUGAGUGCACAUUGCUGAUGGUAGUAAGAGCCAUGAGAAUCACGUUCCAUCUCUGCCUGCCACACAGUUGAACCCGGUGAAUUCUUUGAUCACUAAAAGCUCAGAUCGAAUACCACUAUGUCCUGUACUGUUUGUUUUCCCCAGAAAAAAAAUGGACUCUUUUUGGACUUGUCACAUGCCUUCCUGCCUUGAUUUAUUAGUUCCUAAACUGAGCUCUUUGAGAGCAGAAACUGAGACUCCUCUCUGGCAUUACAGGACCUAGUGGCAGGUUAUGAACUAAAUUGUUGAAAUCUGUCUAAGACCAAGGAAGAUGAUAACAUAAAUAACAUUUGUCUGCGGGAGGUAGUUCCCCCAGGACUACCCUUUACCUUAUGCUCUGUUCCCCCCAAAUGCCGGUGACCAUCUGCUCCUAGAUUCUUAUUCUUGGUCAGGGCUUCUUGGACUUCCUAUGGAGACUUCAGAAAUACUAAAGGAUUGCUAGCUUGUACCACUAAAAAUUUGGAGAUCUGGUGGGAGUUGAAAUUUCUUGGAGCUUCAUACUUCCUCUCAAAAAACCAUCUACAUUUUAUGUUUUGUAUGUCCUAUUAAAUGCAAAAAGUUUUCUCCUAAAACUUCGGAAAAACGUACAUGACUUCACAGUUCCAGAGAGGGUAGUUUGAGAAGCAUGGUGCUAAUUACAGCUCAUCGUGAGCACAGCAGAGAGCACUCCAUGAGGAGGAAUCUCUGAAGCCUGGAAAUGAGGAGAUUUGGGGCACAAUCUGCCUAACAAACAGUUGUUACCGACAGGGAUUUGAGACACACUUGAAGCCCAAGUUUCACUCUGUUAACUGCUGAUAGAAAAAAUACCUCACAGCUUGAGAAGACAAAAUGGUAACUGAGAUGUAGUUAGUGUUUUCUGAAGUUCUGUAUACGUUACCCAAUACAAAAAAAGGGUAUGAAGAUUUAGAUUGAUUUGCAUGAACUGUAAGCCAGUUUGUGCUUUUCCAUACACACAACUCAGGUUGGAGCAACCAUUGAUUGCAUCUUAAUUUUGGACACUGACCAGCAUUAAAAUUUAAGAAACAAUUUAAGAAACAAAC